rnacentral:rRNA from 1 species
UACGUAGGGGGCAAGCGUUGUCCGGAUUUAUUGGGCGUAAAGAGCGUGUAGGCGGCCAGGUAGGUCCGUUGUGAAAACUGGAGGCUUAACCUCCAGCUGUCGAUGGAAACCAUCUGGCUAGAGUCCGGAAGAGGUGAGUGGAAUUCCCAGUGUAGCGGUGAAAUGCGCAGAUAUCAGGAGGAACACCGGUGGCGAAGGCGGGUCUCUGGGCCGAUACUGACGCUGAGGAGCGAAAGCGUGGGGAGCGAACAGG